CAAUAGCGUAUAUUAAAGUUGUUGCAGUUAAAAAGCUCGUAGUUGGAUUUCUGGUUGAAGCGACCGGUCGGGCGUUGAUUCGUCUGCACUGGAGUCGGUUUUGGCCAUCCUCUAGGAAAGUGCGUCUGGUAUUAAGUUAUCGGGCGUAUGAUCCUGGUCUUUUACUGUGAAAAAAUUAGAGUGUUUAAAGCAGGCCUUCGCCUUGAAUACAUUAGCAUGGAAUAAUAAGAUAGGACUUUGGUCUAUUUUGUUGGUCUGCAGACCGAAGUAAUGAUUAAUAGGGAUAGUUGGGGGUAUUUAUAUUCCGAUGUCAGAGGUGAAAUUCUUAGAUUUUCGGAAGAUAAACUUAUGCGAAAGCAUUUACCAAGGAUGUUUNCAUUAA
rnacentral:rRNA from 1 species